rnacentral:rRNA from 1 species
AAGCAUCUAAGCGGGAAGCGAGCCCUGAGAUGAGUCAUCCCUGACCCCUUGAGGGUCCUAAAGGGCCGUUGGAGACCACAACGUUGAUAGGCGGGGUGUGUAAGUGCAGCGAUGCAUUGAGCUAACCCGUACUAAUUACCCGUGAGGCUUAACCAU